rnacentral:rRNA from 1 species
UACGGGGGGGGUAAGCGUUGUUCGGAAUUACUGGGCGUAAAGGGCUCGUAGGCGGCCAACUAAGUCAUACGUGAAAUCCCUCAGCUUAACUGGGGAACUGCGUGUGAUACUGGAUGGCUUGGGAUUUGGGAGAGGGAUGCGGAAUUCCAGGUGUAGCGGUGAAAUGCGUAGAUAUCUGGAGGAACACCGGUGGCGAAGGCGCCCACCUGGCCUGCUACUGACGCUGAAACUCGAAAGCUAGGGGAGCAAACGGG